AAUAGAUACCCUGGUAGUCCAUGCCGUAACGUUGGCGCUAGAUGUGGGGACCAUUCCGACGGUUUCCGUGUCGCAGCUAACGCAUUAAGCGCCCCGCCUGGGGAGUACGGCCGCAAGGCUAAAACUCAAAGGAAUUGACGGGGGCCCGCACAAGCGGCGGAGCAUGCGGAUUAAUUCGAUGCAACGCGAAGGACCUUACCAAGGCUUGACAUAUACGAGAACGCUCUAGAAAUAGAGAACUCUUUGGACACUCGUAUACAGGUGGUGCAUGGUUGUCGUCAGCUCGUGUCGUGAGAUGUUGGGUUAAGUCCCGCAACGAGCGCAACCCUCGUUCUAUGUUGCCAGCGGUUCGGCCGGGAACUCAUAGGAGACUGCCGGGGUCAACUCGGAGGAAGGUGGGGAUGACGUCAAAUCGUCAUGCCCCUUAUGUCUUGGGCUUCACGCAUGCUACAAUGGCCGGUACAAAGGGCUGCAAUACCGUAAGGUGGAGCGAAUCCCAAAAAGCCGGUCUCAGUUCGGAUUGAGGUCUGCAACUCG
rnacentral:rRNA from 1 species